UACGAAGGGUGCAAACGUUGCUCGGAAUCAUUGGGCGUAAAGCGCACGUAGGCGGCUUGCCAAGUCGGACGUGAAAUCCCUCAGCUCAACUGAGGACGUGCAUCCGAAACUGGCGAGCUUGAGUACUGAAGAGGAUCGCGGAAUUCCCGGUGUAGAGGUGAAAUUCGUAGAUAUCGGGAGGAACACCAGUGGCGAAGGCGGCGAUCUGGGCAGAUACUGACGCUGAGGUGCGAAAGCGUGGGGAG
rnacentral:rRNA from 1 species